rnacentral:rRNA from 1 species
CCUGGUGAAAUUAGCGCUGUGGUCCCACCCGUUCCCAUCCCGAACACGGAAGUGAAACGCAGUUGCGCCGAUGGUAGUGUGGCUUAAGCCAUGCAAGAGUAGGUCAUCGCCAGGG